UACGGAGGGGGUUAGCGUUGUUCGGAAUUACUGGGCGUAAAGCGCACGCAGGCGGUUUGUUAAGCUAGAUGUGAAAGCCCCGGGCUCAACCUGGGAUGGUCAUUUAGAACUGGCAGACUAGAGUCUUGGAGAGGGAGUGGAAUUCCAGGUGUAGCGGUGAAAUGCGUAGAUAUCUGGAGGAACAUCAGUGGCGAAGGCGACUCCCUGGCCAAAGACUGACGCUCAUGUGCGAAAGUGUGGG
rnacentral:rRNA from 1 species